CUGAUAAUUAUAUGAUAGAAAGGCAGUAUUUAUAAGGAAGGUGAUGCGCGAUUAUACUAGCACGAGCGAGUCCGUGUUCGAGAUAUCAUCUCCGACACAUUGCCGUCUACAACUUCCAAAAGAAAUUCUCAGCAACAGUGACAAUUUUUACUCCAUGCGAACUCAUUGAAUGAAUCCUAACAAUCAACUUCAACUAUUCAACAAUGCUGGAUCAUCAGAAGUGAUAGAUAUACUAUUUAUCUCUUGAUACUACUCAUUCUUAUUUCUAUAACUAUCCCUACUAGUGCUUUUUAAAUAGUACUAUGAUAUAUCACCUCAAAAAGCUCACCCAUUGUUGAACAUGAGGGCUACAAUUUUCUAGGAUUUUAAAUCAUCAAUAUACAAUCACCAAUCAUUUUUAUACCUCUGA
rnacentral:sRNA from 2 species